GACAGACAGACAGACAUGACGAAUCUAUAAGGGUUCCGUUUUUUGCCAUUUGGCUACGGAACCCUAAAAAGCGGCCAAGUGCGAGUCGGACUCGCCCAUGAAGGGUUCCGUAUUUAGGCGAUUUAUGACGUAUAAAAAAAACUACUUACUAGAUCUCGUUCAAACCAAUUUUCGGUGGAAGUUUACAUGGUAAUGUACAUCAUAUAUUUUUUUUAGUUUUAUCAUUCUCUUAUUUUAGAAGUUAGAGGGGGGGGGGGGACACAUUUUACCACUUUGGAAGUGUCUCUCGCGCAAACUAUUCAGUUUAGAAAAAAAUGAUAUUAGAAACCUUAAUAUCAUUUUUGAAGACCUAUCCAUAGAUACCCCACACGUAUGGGUUUGAUGAAAAAAAAAAUUUUGAGUUUCAUUUUAUGACGUAUUAAAAAAAAACUACUUACUAGAUCUCGUUCAAACCAAUUUUCGGUGGAAGUUUACACGGUAAUGUACAUCAUAUAUUUUUUUUAGUUUUAU